UGGGGAAUAUUGGACAAUGGGCGAAAGCCUGAUCCAGCCAUGCCGCGUGUGUGAAGAAGGUCUUCGGAUUGUAAAGCACUUUAAGUUGGGAGGAAGGGCAGUAAAUUAAUACUUUGCUGUUUUGACGUUACCGACAGAAUAAGCACCGGCUAACUCUGUGCCAGCAGCCGCGGUAAUACAGAGGGUGCAAGCGUUAAUCGGAAUUACUGGGCGUAAAGCGCGCGUAGGUGGUUCGUUAAGUUGGAUGUGAAAUCCCCGGGCUCAACCUGGGAACUGCAUUCAAAACUGACGAGCUAGAGUAUGGUAGAGGGUGGUGGAAUUUCCUGUGUAGCGGUGAAAUGCGUAGAUAUAGGAAGGAACACCAGUGGCGAAGGCGACCACCUGGACUGAUACUGACACUGAGGUGCGAAAGCGUGGGGAGCAAAAGCA
rnacentral:rRNA from 1 species